AGGUCAAUAGGGCAGAAUAAGUUAUUAAUCUGAAAACUAUAAUUAGGCUAUUUCAAUCAAGACAUGUUAACAACUAGGAGAGAUUACAAAUUAGAUUGUGUUUUACAGAUAUUCUAUAAAACGCAAUUUUGUAG